CCCACCCCUGCCAUGCUCUGCCGCCUGGAUCCACAUCCCCACAACCGGAAAGGGUCCUCCUCGAGGAGCUGCGCAUCCUCUGCCUGCUCCAACGCUGUACACAUCCUCUGCUUGGUUGACUCCCACCGCCUACGAUCGUUGCUGCCGUCUGAUCAGGGUAAUGGAUUUGAAGGUUGAUAUAUCUUGAGUUGUCCCAUUAUCAGACUUAAUUCAGGAUUCAACUCAGGAGAGUGUACAGAACAUGCAGGUUUGUAUUGUUUCCAGUGUAUGUUGGUCAUGCAUCGGAUGUCAC
rnacentral:lncRNA from 1 species